CUCGUCUUCACCAACUUGCUUCCAACAGGUCUCUGGGGAAGCCGAUGUGAGAGGUGCUGGUGGCAGCUGCCGCCAGGUCAGUGCUAGGCUGCAAGAGCCUGUGAUGUUGAUGCAUGGACACCUUCUCAGCCUGAGGGAGGCACAUCCCGCAGAACUCCUUUUGCUAGUAUUCCACACUGUGUCUUUAGUGUAUGCUAGUCAACAGAACACAGAGCACCAAGCUAAUUUGGUUGCCAGUCCAGAAGGAUCCUGACUAAAAUUCUGCCGACUCUGGGGCAAUGAGAUGCCGCUGAGGUCAUGACAGUCUGCAUGAAUAUCUCCAUUCAAGAAUAAGGCAGCAGGCCGGGCGCAGUGGCUCACGCCUGUAAUCCCAGCACUUUCGGAGGCUGUGGUGGAUGGAUCACCCGAGGUCAGGAGUUCGAGACCAGCCUGGCCAACAUGGUGAAACCCCGUCUCUACUAAAAAUACAAAAACUAGCCAGGCAUGAUGGCGCAUGCCUGUAAUCCCAGCUACUCAGGAGGCUGAGGCAGGAGAAUCGCUUGAACUUGCGGGGCGGAGGUUGCAGUGAGCUGAGAUCAUGCCAUUGCAUUCCAGCCUGGGCGGCGCAGCAAGGCUCUGUCUCAAAAAAAAAAAAAGGAAGAAACGAAUAGGGCAGCAAGCUUGAUUUGCUUUCCUUGGUAGGACAGAUUCAGUGGAUGAUUGCGGCCCUUUCUUCAAAAUGUCGGCAGUGGAUUGGGCGUGUUCUGUGACUGUGGUGGAGACAAUGACUGUGGCCCUGGGUGGAGCCACCACCUUCCUGUAUUUGUGGGACUGUCUGAGGAGGUGGUGCCUGUGCUAAGGGAAGGUUUCCUCCUCGGAGUGGUGAGCUGUGUUCACGGACCCCGGCACCGUAAGAGCCUAUUUUUCAGCAUGGCGUUCACUACACUACCUUAAGAAUUCUUGGCUUGGCAGGAUGAGUGUUAAUAGUGGGGGAGAACUGAAAGUGGCCACUGUGGGGCUGGAACAGAUAUCACAGAAAACACCAGAGGAGUCUUGUAGAAUUUCCCAUCAGUAGAGACUCUGUCUCAUUCAACAUUGAUGGUGCGUCUUUGGCUAUUGAGCUCUGAGGUGUUUCCCUUGCAGUUUCCCUAAUACCAAUUGUUCAGUGAGAACAUUUCUACUUUAGAAAUGGGUUUUUUGAAAAGCAACUGGAGGCAGCUCCAAAGGCUUUGUAAGAACUUAGAGAAAUAUUUAGUAAUGACUAAAAAUUUCCUUUAAGUCGACUUCAUAAGCAUUUUCUCUUUGAUGUUUUGAUUUUUAAAUUAUGAAUAUACAUAGCUACUGAUAGCAUGCUACCAACUGGAAAUUCCUAUUAACUGGCAUGGUCGCAUGGAUAAAUACAAUUUAAAGUGAUGUUAAAACAAUGGCUCUGAAGUUAAGUCUACAGAGUGCUUUCUGAAUCACAAAGCAAUACAAAUAUGUUCAGCAUUUUUCAGUAUCAAAUUAAUUACACAUUUUCAGAAUAUGGCAGUUUAUAUAUAGCUAACUUUUAAUAAAGAAAUAUAUUGGAUUGUAAUAACUAUGAAUCAGUACUUACUCCCUGCCAGUUGCUGGCUACAGUGAACAGUGGGGCUUACUGCACUUCUACGCCUCUUGUGGAAUAACAAAUAUCAGUCUUCAAACAUUUAAGCAAAUGAAAAUAAAGGUCAAAUAUCCUUGUUUGCCCUUUGCAGCUGAAAGGGCAAGUUACACAAUUCUUAUGUAUUUUUCCAUCUAAUCUUCUGAGGAAAGAAAGAGAAUCUGAAUUUACGUUUUGCAAAUGGCUCACUUUUUCUUACUUUGCCAAUAGUGGAGAAUUUUCUGUUUCAAGACUCAGUGCGUUAGUAGGCUAAUGGACAUAAAGAAUUCCAACACUGCUAGUUCUCAGGGAAAGAACAGGCCAACAAAAUGGAAAAUGUACUGCAGUGGACGAAAUCGUGCUAUACAAAUGGAGUGCUGUAAAUCCCUAAACUACAGUGCACACUUGUUGGCAAGGCAGAAACAUUCACAAUUCAGAGGAUUCCAGCAGGACGUCCCGUUAAUUUGUAUUUCCCAGAACAAAUUUAUCAUUCGGAAGAACAAGUCCAAUAAACAAACGU
rnacentral:lncRNA from 10 species